rnacentral:misc_RNA from 1 species
UGCUAAUUACUCUCUGACACUCCUUUAGAAGGCCUGUAGAUGAUGUUUCACAUUUUUCUUAUGACAAGACUUAGAUGCCUUAGCUCUUUAUCAGUGGUGAACUCUUCCACUACUUCUUUUUAUUGUUGGAACUGUUCCACCUACGACCAGAAUAAACUUGUUUGUGCCUCCACCAAGUAAAACAACAAUUUAGUCAAUAAGAUCACCUGUGUUAGGAUAAGUAAAGUUAAUUACUGCACCUG